rfam:Aedes aegypti strain Liverpool supercont1.537 genomic scaffold, whole genome shotgun sequence.
UGCCCAGCAACUCCUAUCCCUACCUCCUCGUGGUACUGGCCGGGGUACGAGUAACCUUGGGGAAGAUCGGGUAACCAACCCCCGGUGGGAACUUUGGUCGUAUGCUGAUAGGGAAGG